rnacentral:rRNA from 1 species
CGCGUAGGCGGUUUUGUAAGUCGGAUGUGAGAUCCCCGGGCUUAACCUGGGAACUGCAUUCGAUACUGCAUAACUAGAGUAUGGUAGAGGGAAGUGGAAUUCCGGGUGUAGCGGUGAAAUGCGUAGAUAUCCGGAGGAACACCAGUGGCGAAGGCGACUUCCUGGGCCAAUACUGACGCUGAGGUGCGAAAGCGUGGGGAGCAAACA